AUUCUCUUUUGUUUCAAUUUGAGGACAGCCAUAUAUAGGACACAAUUCCUGACAGUCAGUAGUCUAGUUCUUUAAUUGUGACACUCUGUGGUCUUUACUCUUGGUCCUUAACCAUUUCAUACAGGGUUCCCACCUUGGUACCUCUGUCAUAUACCAAGAGCUACAGCAAACCAACAAUGGCAUAGAAAAAAUCACAUUAGAAAUAAGA